rnacentral:rRNA from 1 species
GACGAACGCUGGCGGCGUGCUUAACACAUGCAAGUCGAACGGAAAGGCCUGCUUUCCCUUGUGGAUUGCGGGUACUCGAGUGGCGAACGGGUGAGUAACACGUGAGUGAUCUGCCCCCAACUUGGGUAUAAGCCUGUGAAACUGGGUCUAAUUCCCGAUAGGACUGCAGGGUGGUGCCUGUGGUGGAAAACGAUUUUCUAGUGGUUGUGGAUGAGCUCGCGGCCUAUCAGCUUGUUGGUGGGGUAAUGGCCUACCAAGGCGGCGACGGGUAGCCGGCCUGAGAGGGUGGACGGCCACAUUGGGACUGAGAUACGGCCCAGAAUCCUACGGGAGGAAGCAGUGGGGAAUAAUGCACAAUGAGCGGAAGCCUGAUGCAGCGACGCCGCGUGGGGGAUGACGGCCUUCGGGUUGUAAACUCCUUUCGACCGAGAGGAAGCCACCUGGUUGGAAGGGUGGUGACGGUAGUGGUAGAAGAAGCACCGGCUAACUACGUG